UCGCCAUAUAUAUGUCAAUCAUAGAUGUUGUUAAUCAAGCGGGUUAAGCAUAAGCACAACGAAAUUAGGAUAAAGUAUUCAAAAGACAAUAGAAAUCAAGUUGGAUACAAACAUAAACAACAUAGAACUAAAAACAAACACAUUUCAUCGUAAAAAGAAUAGUUUGAACUCGAAACAGAGAAUAGACCACAACAUAAAAUGGCCACCAUAAUAAGCCUAAUCAAGUGAAACAUCACACUGAAUUUUAUAGUGGAGUCUUCAAAACCCGUGACAUGUAUAAAAUUUAAUUUUUGCAUAAGACCACACUCAAUUUAAUUUUCUCAUGGGAAACAAACUUAAAAACCAAAUCAUAGUAAAUAUAAAAGUGAACCACCAUAUAAUGGACAAAUAUCAAUGUAGUUGACAAUUUUUCCAACAUUAUAAACCUUAUAUUAAGAUUUAUAAUUUUGCUCAUUAUUUCAAGUGUUGGGUGUUAUCACUAUGUAUUAUAUAAAGCUGAAAAAACUAAUAUGACAUGUUGUAUUGGAUUGAUAUGCACCACCACCCAAUUAUAUUCACACCAAGCAUGCUCCAUUUUUCUCUUUUAAAUGGCCCUGAAAUAACCAAAUCAAUAAAUGUAAUUCCUAAUAGCCAUUCUUUCUUUGUGACAUUUCUAAAUAAGACAUCAUUCACAAUGCUUCAUCACAAAAGACUAUGAGAUAAUUUCUACUUACAAUUCAAUCAAAUUGUGAUGAUCCAAAAGACCAUGGUACAAUUGAAGUUGUUCGAAAUCCUUAGCAUAUAAGCUUUGAUAACCUUUAUGACAAAGAAAAUGGAUAAUCACGAUGAUUUAGAUAUAGUGAUACAACUUAGCAUUAUUAACAAAUCCAAAUUAGAGUUUACCUUUGUAAAAUGCAUCAUAUGAUUACUAUCAAGGUACUUAUUAUGGACACAUGAANNNNNNNNNNNNNNNNNNNNNNNNNNNNNNNNNNGAUUAGGGAAUCUAGAUUCAGGAAAAAAAACCUUUAAUAUAUAGGAAGAAGGUUAUUAUUUGAGAAUAUAUAGGUUACUAUUCCUAAUUUGGGACAAAGGAGUACUAUAUGUUAUUAUUUGAAAGAAUGUUACUAUUUGUAAUUUGGGACAAAUGAGUGCUAUUUGGGACAUAUGAGUACUAUUCAAAAUAUAGGUAUAGGUAGGAGGAAUGAUUGCAUGAUAAGAAUUUUGUGAAUGACAUGAUAGCAAGUUCCAAGAAUACAUGUAAUCAAUAGAAUUGAUAAAGAAGUCAUGCCAAUAGAAUUCAUAACAAUGAAAUCAUUGCAUCAUGUGAAUGACACAUAAACAACUAACAUAUGAAAGCUGAGAAAGUAAAGGAACAAAAGACAACAUGUUGUCUACAAAUUUUAGGGAAUGAACAUAUUGAAAAAAAUUUAGUAUAAAUUGCUAAACAUAAAUUCAAAUUAAAAAAUGCUACAUAAAAAAAAUAGACUAAUUACUUAAAAGAAAAUUUAAAAUAUAAUUUAUUAAUCAUAAGUUACAAUGAUGGUAAAAUUAGUGUGAAUGUAGUUUUAGGAGGAGUUGGUUUACAUAGGGUUAAUGAAUUCAUCUAUGAAGACACUUAUUCAUUGGCAUACAUGCAUGAUGCCACUUGUCUCUUGACUUCUUUACACAUGUCAAAUGGAGCAAGAAAUAGAGAUAAUAGGUAUAAUCAUUAUAUGAUAGCUAGUAAUAGGGAUAAUCAUGAUAGGAAUAGCUAGUAAUAGAUAUAAUGAUGAUAGAGAAGCAAUGAUGGCAUUAUAUGAUCAUGAAAGGAAGGUUGCAUGUGAUGUUAGAAAGAUGUGGUAGAUUAAUCACCUAAUUAUUGAAUGAAGGAUAUCAAGAUGAGAUAUUGAGAACAUGUAAACUUGCUCACAUUAUUUGCAGCUUCNNNNNNNNNNNNNNNNAUCUUGCCAUUUAAGAAAGUAAACAAAAAAUUGGAAUCAACACAAUGAAGCUAAGUGAAAAUAUCAAAGUAAAUUAAAACAUUUCAUAUAAUUGAAAACACUUUUGACAAAAGGAAUCAAGAUUAUUCUUUAAAAUCAGUUUUUCUGCACAAACAUAGCAACAACACCUUAACUUUCGCAGUUUAAUUAAAAUACCAAACGAUAUCCGUUUUGAGUAAACGACCACUCGUUGGAAAGAUUAGGAUGUCAAGAUUACAGAUAUAAUUUUUGUUAUAAGUGUUAACCAUCCAAUUGGUCCAGUUUAACAAAAGAUUGGGUAUUGGUACAGAAACAGAUUUUUCUGCACAACCAUAGCAACAACACCUUAACUUUGGCAACUUAAUUAAAAUACCAAACGAUAUCCGUUUUGAGUAAACGACCACUCUUUUGAAAGUUUAGGAUGUCAAGAUUACAAAUAUAAUUUUUGUUUUGAGGUUUAACCAUCCAAUUGGUCCAGUUUAACAAAAGAUUGGGUAUCGGUGCAGAAACAGGACUAAAACUAUACUCAAACUUGUAGGUAGCUUUUCUCCUAUUAUACUUAUGGGAAUUUAACAUUUUCGGUGACUAAAUUGUAGGAAAUUUUGUCUUCUUUGUAGUGGAUUAAAAAUAUUUAGCAUAUGACCUAUAUUCAGAGAGUUAUACUAAAUUUACCACAUGUAUGUCUACACAAAUUUCACCUAAAUAUUUCUUCUUUUACAUGAACUUGCAGCCUAAACAUAUACUGUCCAUUUUAACUUAUAAAAUUUCUUUUGUCCAUCUUCUAGGGUCUUAGGGUUUGGUAUAAAAGAGAAAGAAUAAAAAGAGAAGGUUGGUUUGUCUUACCUUAGUUUUUCCAACACCCAAAAGCUUGAANNNNNNNNNNNNNNNNNNAGUUUUUCCAACACCCAAAAACUUGAAUCUAGGAGAAUUUCAUACAUGCAAAACUGAAGUUGAAAAAUAUAAAUUUGAGAGACUGAAAUUUGUUCAUAAAUCUGCAGAUUCAUCAAAUGAACUUAAACAAAUCAAUCAAGAAAAACAUAUCAAUCAAUAAGAAAUUGCAUACCCAAAAAAUUCAUAAAAAAAAAAAGAAUAAAAAUUGACCUUGUUGUUGACUAUGAUCCAUCAAUCUUUCUUGUGAUUGUGUUUAGCCAGAUCCUCAAAGGUUAAAAUCUUUGAUGUUGAACUCAUCUUCUUUUACUGCAAAAUCAUAAUAAUCAUUAUUGUUAUUAUUAAAAUUAAUCGAAUAACCCAUUCCCAAACCAAAACACAAUCUUCAAUCAAUAAAACAAACACCAAACAGAACAACUAAAAUAAAACAAACAAAGCAGAAAAUUGAUAGGGGAAGAACAGACAAAAAAAAACGAAAAAAAAUAAAGAAAGAAGCAAAACAGAUCGAACCAGAUGAAAGAAGCUCCGGCGGCGACGGUGGCCGGCGAUGGCUCGCCGGAAUCUGGGGAUGGGUGGUGGUGUUCUUGUUGUUCUUCAUGAUGUUCAUGAAGAUGGUGAGAAAAUAGAGAGAGAUAGUAGGGAGAAAAGAGAGAAGAGAGAGAAAGAAAUUUGAGAAAUAAAGAAAGUAGGAGAAAAGGAAAUAUAUAUUAGUGAAACAUAUAUGUGUCAAGAAGUGAUUGGCUAGAAAAUAGGAUUAGGUGUCAAUGUGAAGAUUGAACCCUAAAAUGAAAUGAAAACC
rnacentral:lncRNA from 1 species